GUGGUGCUGAGUUUCGUGUUGCGGGCGGAAGAAGCUCAUAAGGGGAACGCAGGACCGGGUAACUCAUGUAUUUGAAUCAAGCUUUAUUAGCAACUCCAGCAGUAGAUAAGAGCAAAGGACACUCGUCCCGGAGGACGGAAGAGCUGGGAGAGUGAACGUGCGCGCGCUCUCUCGGCUCAGCGGCAAGGCUUUGUUAUUUGCCUGUUCUGGAAACUGCACUUACUUUUGGGGUUUCCUGGAGGUGGUCUGCUGCUGCCUGUUCUGGUGCAGCCAUUGCCUGCCUUCCCACCGGCCUUGCACUCACAGUGUCCACCCCCUGUCUGCAAGGGGCUUCCCACUUCAUCUGGAAUCAGAAAUUAUAGAAGAGACACUUAUUAGCCCCUUUAUCACAGAUCAUUAAGGGAAAAAUAUUUAAUGGUGUCUAUUACAUGCAAGAAUUUCACAAAAUCUUGUCCUAUUUAACUGUGUAAAAUGAUGACAGGCAUACAGUAGUUGGCUCAAUAAAUAUUCGCUAAGUGAAUGAA